GUUGGUUCUACCCGAAGGCGAUGUGCUAACCGCAAGGAGGCAGUCGACCACGGUAGGGUCAGCGACUGGGGUGAAGUCGUAACAAGGUAGCYGUAGGUGAACCUKCAGAAAGGAUCA
rnacentral:rRNA from 1 species